UGUCGAUCGCAUAAUGGUGUUACUGGAAGAUUUAAACGACGCUCGUAAUCGCCCUGCCUGAAGAAUUCUUCACAAACUUUAUCAAUGAACUGAUGUGCCGUUGAAGCUCUGGUCUUACGUCAGUAGGUAAUUGUGCCGAUACACCACUUUCUAAAAGACAUCCUAUAGCUGAUCUCCAGUGAUGAUUUUCGAGAACAGAAGGCUACUAACCAGUCUGACACCCUGUAUACAUAUAUAUAAUUUAUCUAUUCUGGACGUCAAUGUUAACGUCUUUUCAUUUUUAUUUAUUUAAUAAGUUAAUAGAGAUGUUCCUACCUGAUAAAGUGCUGCCAAAUGAUUACUCGUUGC